rnacentral:miRNA from 1 species
GGCCUCUUUACAGUGCUAUCUUG